UUGAACGCUGGCGGUAUGCUUUACACAUGCAAGUCGAACGGCAGCACGGGGCAACCUGGUGGCGAGUGGCGAACGGGUGAGUAAUAUAUCGGAACAUGUCCGGAAGUGGGGGAUAACGUAUCGAAAGUUACGCUAAUACCGCAUAUGCCCUAAGGGGGAAAGGAGGGGAUCGCACGACCUUUCGCUUUCGGAGUGGCCGAUAUCGGAUUAGCUAGUAGGUGAGUUAAAGGCUCACCUAGGCGACGAUCCGUAGCUGGUCUGAGAGGACGACCAGCCACACUGGAACUGAGACACGGUCCAGACUCCUACGGGAGGCAGCAGUGGGGAAUUUUGGACAAUGGGCGCAAGCCUGAUACAGCCAUACCGCGUGAGUGAAGAAGGCCUUCGGGUUGUAAAGCUCUUUCAGACGGAAAGAAACGGUUACGGCUAAUACCCGUGACUAAUGACGGUACCGUAAGAAGAAGCACCGGCUAACUACGU
rnacentral:rRNA from 1 species